ensembl:snRNA U6 U6 spliceosomal RNA
GUGCUUGCUUCGGCACCACAUACACUCAAACUGGAACAAUACAGAGAAGAUUAGC